GCAGAAGGAACCCUGUCUGCUGCGUUAACAAAAAUAACAUCGCCAGAAAUCAAAUGAGUUAAAGGAUAUAAGCGAAGUUACUGGAACAUGGACAACAUCAGACAACUAAUCGGCUUGGAAAGUCAAAAAAAUCAACAACCAGAAGGCGCUGUUUUAACUUGAGUUCUUCCCAAGUUUCUCAUCAUGGGGGGGACAGAGGGGAGAGGGGGGUCAGGAGAAAGAUGGAGUCUCUUUGGGAUGCGGCCCAUUGUUCAAAAAUCUCCUACUGAUCCAGGAUCAGAUUCCAGCACAUCUGGGCCCAGCAUUCUGCAGUCAUACUUUGGGGCUCGGAAGUCCAGCUCAAUGGAGGAGCUGAAGCCCCAGCUGAAAGACCUGGUGGAGGAUCCCGGUGGACUGAGAGCAGCUCACUCAGAGAUCAGUACUGCCGAGGAAAAGAGAGGACACCCCCGACCCCACAGACUCAAACCACGGGACAUGAACAUCCUCAUGCCUUCUGGCUUCUGACCUCCAGCCUUCAGUCUCAAGAAACACACACACACACACACACACAUACAUGGACACACGUUCAAAGCUGUUCACCCCUCCAGCUCAGUGCAUCCACAACCACUGUUUACACUACAUUGCACUGCUUCAGAUUCACAAAUGGAGUGUCUUGUAAGUGAGCACAAACACACUGCUGUUGGCUUUUUGGGUUUUUUUUGAUGAACUUUGCUUCCUAUAUGAUUUGCCUCAUAUACAGUUUACCUGAGGGAGCAAGAAGAUGUUCAGUGCCAAAAAUUUCAAGUUAUUUUUAUUUUUAUUGAUUGGUGCAUCUCCAUAUUUAAAACAAUCCUAGAUGCUAGUCUUAUGUGAUCAUUCGUCACUGUGUUGAACAGCCAGCUGUGGUCACAUGGAAGUGGUUUACAAAUGUUGGAUAUUGUGGUGCAUAUUGUAUCUCUGCAUGUUCUGAUUCACACAAGCUUCCGCGGUUUCUUACGGCACAGUCAGCAGACCAUCCUCCCUCUGCUAACACUUACACAGUCCUCUGUGUCCUAAUCCAGCUGAGAUUGUUUGCAUAGUGCUUUCAUUUAAUUCUGUUGUACUAGGUGAGGUUUUUGUCUUCUUAAAUAUGUUAGCAGAAAUCCUCAGUGUAAAAUAUGACAUGGAUAAAUGAAAGAUGCUCCUUCUUAUGAUAAACCCCAUUUAGUGUUAAAGCCCAUUUAUAGUCAGGCCUUAUAGUAGUGGUUUUUUAUUAUUUUACUGCCCUGUUUUACAUUCGUAUUUUAAGUAAUUUCCAUAUGUUGUGUAAGAUAUUGUAAUUAACAAAGUUCUUUUCAGUCAUCAACACAUUUAAGUAAGAAGACUCAGUUAUGAGAGGAAAUAUUGCCUUGGUUGAAGCAAAGAUGAAGAGGUGUAUGUAUUUAUUCAGUGUAAUUAAUAAUAAUAGUGACAUAAAGGGGAGCACUGUUUUUUUAUACAGAGUUCUUAUGUGCCACCCCAAUACUUUCUGGAGAAAGAAUUCUUCACGCACUCAUGACUGCGCACCCUCUCGACUAAAGAAUAACAAAUGCUAAAAAGAAAGAAAGAAAAAAAAAAGUGUGGAGAAGCACACGUUGCUUGACACUGGAUAAACAGGGUUCUGGUUGCUUUGUCUUGUAUGAUUUUUUUUUUUUUAAUUUACUUUAAGUACCAUUUGUGUGAGAUUUUAAAAAAUGUAAAUGCCUUCAUCAUUCUCUUCUUACUAAAGUAGAACACUACAACCCCAGUGCUGUUGUUCAGCUGGUAAUAAAAGCUUUGUCCACGGUUCAGUCUUAGAUGUUCGUCGGAUCUCUGACAAUGGGGGAGUCCUGCUGAAGAAAUAGCAUAAAUAGUGAUGACCUCGUGAACCGAAAGAAUGGGGUUUUAUUGUGUUUUCGCUUGGAGUUUACAAUAAGAUGUUUGGUUGCAGCGACCUAGAAACUAUAAAAUACUCAUGCACUUUUUUUUUUUUUUUAGUGCUGUUUUGUUUAAAGAGAGAUUUUUGUUAUGGAGUGUUCCUCAUCCCCAGGCUCUUCUGUUAGCCAUGCCAGCGUGUAUUUCAUAUUGUAACAGUGGGUCUGUGAAAUGUCCUUUCCCUAGCAAUACACCACUUUAAAUGCUUAAACUUUGGUGAAUUCACCCAUAUGCAUUUAGUUGUGGAAGAAAAUUUCUCUGUAGUCUUGCAUUGGACUCGGUAAAGACAACUGUCAAAAACACAGUAUGAAACAUUGCUGUCCUGACUAAUCUAACUGUGUACCUUGCUGUCCCAUAAAGUGAUUUUUAUUGAAUCAGA